rnacentral:tRNA from 1 species
GCGCCCGUAGCUCAGUUGGAUAGAGUACUUGGCUACGAACUAAGGGGUCGGGAGUUCGAAUCUCUCCGGGCGCG